rnacentral:rRNA from 1 species
AGCGAACGCUGGCGGCAGGCUUAACACAUGCAAGUCGAUCGCCCCGCAAGGGGAGUGGCAGACGGGUAAGUAACACGUGGGAACGUACCCUUUGGUUCGGAAUAACUUGGGGAAACUCAAGCUAAUACCGGAUAAGCCCUUAUGGGGAAAGGUUUACUGCCGAAGGAUCGGCCCGCGUCUGAUUAGCUAGUUGGUGAGGUAAUGGCCCACCAAGGCGACGAUCAGUAGCUGGUCUGAGAGGAUGGUCAGCCACACUGGGACUGAGACACGGCCCAGACUCCUACGGGAGGCAGCAGUGGGGAAUAUUGGACAAUGGGGGCAACCCUGAUCCAGCCAUGCCGCGUGAGUGAUGAAGGCCUUAGGGUUGUAAAGCUCUUCUACCCGGGACGAUAAUGACUGUACCGGGAGAAUAAGCCCCGGCUAACUUCGUGCCAGCCGCCGCGGUAA